ACGACAUAAACUACCUGCGCGCCAGAACAUUGGCCUUUGUCGUCUCGUCGUCUCGUCGAUGUGAACAUGUGAUCGGUCAGUAAUACGCGUGUCUGGCGUAAAAUUCAUGGUUUGGUUUUGAACGAUUGGAAAAGUAAUAGUCAAUUAAACUGCUCUAAGUCCAGACAUGUCUGAAGAGUGUAGAUAUCUGAUUGCAACUGAGGAAUCAAGAAGUUUUGCGAGAUGGAAGAAUUCUACUAACAAAGAGUUUGCAAUUGUUUGGUACCAAAUCUGAAGGACAGUCUUUUUCACAACACACGAUUGGUUGAUUUUCACUAGACAGUCAUUUGAAUGGUGCAGUUCCUAUCCGCAGCCCUACAGUGUGCAAAAAUAGAUAGUGGAAAAAAUCUGCUUAUCAUGCAGAUCUGCACAAUGCUGCCUUCAUCUGAACUCGUAUUGAACAUAGGACUACACAGUGUUAAAAGACUCUUCUCUUAAAGAAAUUUGUAGCUGUGAACUUUCUUUAGAUGACUCUUGUGUCAGAAAUAUUUUCCUGCUUCUUGGAACAUGGAACGUAGGAUGUCUUGAUGCCAACCAAGUGUCACGGGAAAGAUUGUAAAAACACGUUGAAGCAGGAAAAACCUAAAGCUGGAGGAUGAUACAUUUGUUUCUUGUUACUAGUUUUAUAGACAAAAGAAAUGGAGAUUUAUUCCACAAUCUUCAGCUUCCCAGGCAGACACCCACCUACAAAACCAUGGGAGUCGGAUCAUUGUGUGGAAUUUGAUAUUCUAGCCCUGGAAACCCCAGGUGCCUUUCUGCUUCAACAAGGCUAUAAAGCAAUUAUAAUUUCAGGAGGUAAAGACUGAAACCAAAAACAAAGCACUUUUUUGGAAACAGAAAAGUGUACACAAAUGUUCAAGGUUCUAACUCAGUGUACGCGGUUGAUGCCUCACUAUACGAUCCAGCAAUCUUUAGGCUGCGUCUUCCAGUGCUGGGAAUUUGUUAUGGCAAGCAAAGACUCAACAAGGAGUUGGGUGGAACGGUGGAGAGAAAAGAUGUUGCAUAACUUCUCAUUCGAUAUCUGUGGAUUGCAAGGAGGUUUCACAUUGGAGAAACGCGAGCAGCCGUAUAACGAUUACAUCCGGUGCACGGUCGGACGUGAUAAGAUCCUGCUCAUGCUGGUAAGCGGCGGAGUCGGUUCCGCCGUUUGUGCUGCACUUCUACAGGGUGACGACUCGUCGCGAGUGCAGGCCAUCCACAUCGAAAACGGUUUCCUGCGUAAAUACGAAUCCGAGCAGGUCAUCACUAGUUUACAGCAACUUGUGGUCAAUCCUCGGGUUGUUGAAGCAAGUUUGACUUUCCACGAUGCCUCCACCAACGUGCUUGGUCGCCAAACUUUGUCGUUGUGUCGGACUGAGAAUCAUCAUAACGAUUCCGAAAUUGUUCGUCAGUUGCGCCUUCACGGCCGUGUAGUAGAACCUCUACAAGACUUCCAUAAAGAUGAAGUAAGAGCCUUUGGUCGAGCUGGGUACGCCCGCAGAAUUAUUAGAACGUCACCCGUUUCCUGGUCCCAGUUUUUCAAUUCGAAUAAUUUACGCCGAAGAACCGUUCUUGGAAGCCAAAGAACAUGCGUUGCUCAAUCGGAUUGAAUUCGCGACGUCGGAAAAAGAGCGUCUUCUUCCGGAAGAACUGUCCAGUCACAACCAGAAUGUUGCCACGCUGCUGCCUGUUCGCACUGUCGGUGUUCAGGUACAGUAGGUUGCAGAAAAAUGUGCGGGGUAUGAAAAAUAAAACAUACGGAAAACCGCCACAUUUUUCUACAAUAUACUGUACAACAGAUUCGCAAUUUAGACGUUUUCGUAAUAAUGCCGCGAUCGUUAUCAGCUCUUAUUCAAGGGAGACGAUAGAUGCCACCGUAUCUACGCCAAGGGUCCUUGUGUUCAUGACCAAUGGCUUGAGAAGGAUAUCAACGACUAUGGCACCUGCUGCCCAUCGCCUUACGUAGAAAGCAGAUGCGACAGUAGCCACAUCUUCUGGAAGUAAUCACCAAACUCGAAGGUGGCUGUUAUAAAUCGUUCACACGUUGGCCUUGCAAGCGAAGUUGCAUCCCGUGAUGAGAAACCCUUACGACAUAUGAUGUACUCCAACAACGCGAUGAGCCCAUGGUCGAAAUUUGGCGUGUAUCCGCCGUUUGGCAUGCAGGAAGAAUAGCGGAGACGACUAUGAUGACAUUCCCAGUUUUGACUACUGAACUAGAAACAGUUUUACAGAACCAUUCACGUGGUUUUGUUUCUAUUAUUUCAUUUUAAAAAUGCAAUUGCAAAUUGUUUUUUAUCCGCCAUGCGUCACACUAGAAAAUCUUAAUUAGUUCUAAUGCAUGAAUUUGUUAGCUAAUAAUAUGUGUUUGAAGAAAAUGUUUUCAAUUUGAAACUUUGAACAGGAAUUUGUGCUUUACCUUUUUGCAAUGCGGCAACACAGCAUUGCAUGUCGAUCUGCGAACGUUUGACAACUCACUGAUAUUGCAAUAGGUUAAUAGUUUUGUGUCAAGUAAAAUUUCAAUGUGAGUAACUGCUAGAAGAUUGCAAGCGAAAUCUGCAUGUGUCGUGUCAUUGUUCUAAAUGUUGGUGACUUAUUUCGUUUUGAUUAGGCAUUUAUGUUUGGGAACAAUACCUGAAGUUGGAUAUUGCCUAAUGAUAUUUACAUAUUAGGUCCUACUUAAAGACACUGGGGGUGAUACGUUUUGCAUCCAUAUAGAGUACUCGAAGGAUGACUCACAUGUGCUGCGCCAUUACGAUCGAGACAAGGUAGAACACAAAACUUUAAAGCGCCUUUUAACAAUAAUGAAUGAAUUUCCUCAUUCUAACAGUAAUCAAUGAAAAUAUAAAUAUAUUCUUAGCUGUAGUAAAGUCUAGAUCAAAAAGUAAGAUUUUCCAAGUCGAAGAAUAACAUUUUCCAAGUCCUAAGUAAAAACAAAAGGUAUGCAACAAGAUGACUUUGCACUCUAAGGCUUUUUAAAUAUUUUCGCCUUCUCGUGAUAUCAGCAUCUAACACAUUAAUUUCUUGCUAUAAUCUCAAUCAGAUAAUUGUUUAAAUAGGCACGCAUUUUGUUUUUCCUAACUUGAGUAAUACGUAGUAGAAAAUUGCAAACAUAGUCAAAAAAAUGGUUGGUCAAAAUAACUGUGUUCUCAUGACUCUUUUCGUUAAAGCAACAUCUGUAAAUGCCCCGAGUGCCAGCUUAGAAACCGAACUUGAAUCCAAUUUAAUCUCGACCCGAAAAUCAUGUGUAGUUUGCUAUAUUUAAAUUUUAGCAAAAAACGGAAUAGAAUUCAAUUCGAAGUCAGGUUUAAAAAUAGAGGCCGACUUUUAAGCCCUACUUUUUGCACAAAAAUUUUACUCAAAAAUUUUGACUUGGAAUUCAAUCAAAUCUAACCUUCUAUAACCAAAAUAGGUUGCUAAUUCCGAAUCAAUUAUUAGUUUUUCAUGAAUUUAACGAAAUCAAAGUGGGUUUAUCACAACCACUUUGAAUUUGAAUUACUCAUCAACUAUAACUCUCGAAUUAAAAUGAACUUGAUUUUUACUUU
rnacentral:misc_RNA from 1 species